UUUCUGCACCUGUAUGUAACUCCAGUAAAACCCAUGGGUUGACCGAGUUGAACUUAUGUAUUUUGGUCUGUCAUGGACUCCCUGUCUGGAGUGAGUAGAUGUGUGUGUUGUAUCACCCCAGGAAAAGUUUUGUCAUACAAGUUUGUAGAGAAACACUUACUCUUUUUUUUUUUUUUCUUUUCUUUUUUUUUGGAGCUGGGGACCGAACCCAGGGCCUUGCGCUUCCUAGGCAAGCGCUCUACCACUGAGCUAAAUCCCCAACCCCGAGAAAUACUUAUUCUACAGUUACAUCAUCUGGCGUAGACUGAAAGAGUGUCAUUAGGAGAGACCCAGACACUAUGCAGAUAGUUUAUUUCUUGUCUUCCAAUGGAAUGGCACGUCCUCAGUUUUCCUCUUCUGUAAAAUGGGCUCAGCAGGAUUCAGGAGAAGACUGUGGUGGUGCUCACCUUUAACUCUAGCACUCUGGAGGCAAAGGCAGAUCUCUGAGUUUGAGGCCAGCCUGGUCUACAGAGACCUCACAAAGGAAACCCUGUCUUGUGUGUCAUCAGAGAAAAAGGAACCUCGGAUGAGGAAACACCUCCAUGAAAUCCAGCUGUAGGGUAUUUUCUCAAUUAGUGAUCAAUGAGGGAGGUCCCAGCCCAUUGUGGGUGGGGCUGGUGGUCCUCUGUGAGUGACGUAAGAAAGCAGGUUGAGCAAGCCGUGAGCAGGCAAACCAGCGAGCAGCAACCACCCCCCACUCCCCUAUAAGCUCCUGCCUCCGCUUCUAUAGAGCUUGAGUUCCUGCCCUGACUUCCUUUGGUGAUGAAUAGCAAUGUGGAAGUGAUCUCACCCUGUAGCCUGGAAUUUCCUAGACAGCUUCCCCGGCUAGCUUCUGCUUUUCCUGGGCUAGAGAUGUGUGCCGCCCAAUUGGUUUACCAAACUUUUUACUGCAUUUCUUUGCACGUCGGGGAGUGGUGGCCACAGCAUGCUUGGAGAGAGAUUAGAGCCCCUGCUGUCCUGGGACUUGCUCUGUAGAGCUGGCUGGCCUUGACCUCAUAGAGAUCCUCCUGCCUCUGCCUCCCGACCUCUGGGAUUAAAGGUGUACACCACA